rnacentral:rRNA from 1 species
UUGAACGCUGGCGGCAGGCCUAACCCCUGCAAGUCGAGCGGAUGAAGGGAGCUUGCUCCUGGAUUCAGCGGCGGACGGGUGAGUAAUGCCUAGGAAUCUGCCUGGUAGUGGGGGAUAACGUCCGGAAACGGGCGCUAAUACCGCAUACGUCCUGAGGGAGAAAGUGGGGGAUCUUCGGACCUCACGCUAUCAGAUGAGCCUAGGUCGGAUUAGCUAGUUGGUGGGGUAAAGGCCUACCAAGGCGACGAUCCGUAACUGGUCUGAGAGGAUGAUCAGUCACACUGGAACUGAGACACGGUCCAGACUCCUACGGGAGGCAGCAGUGGGGAAUAUUGGACGAUGGGCGAAAGCCUGAUCCAGCCAUGCCGCGUGUGUGAAGAAGGUCUUCGGAUUGUAAAGCACUUUAAGUUGGGAGGAAGGGCAGUAAGUUAAUACCUUGCUGUUUUGACGUUACCAACAGAAUAAGCACCGGCUAACUUCGUG